rnacentral:rRNA from 1 species
CCUCAAAUCAGGUGGGAACUACCUGCUGAACUUAAGCAUAUCAAUAAGCGGAGGAAAAGGAAACUAACUAGGAUUCCCUUAGUAACGGCGAGUGAAGAGGGACUAGCCCAAAUUUGUAAUCUGGCUCUUUCAGAGUCCGAGUUGUAAUCUCGAGAACAGUUUUCCGUGUUGGACCUUGUAUAGGUCUGUUGGAAUAUAGCUUCGUAGAGGGUGAGAAUCCCGUACAUAACAAGGACUACCAAUGCUUUGUGAUACUGUCUCUAAGAGUCGAGUUGUUUGGGAAUGCAGCUCAAAUUGGGUGGUAAAUUCCAUCUAAGGCUAAAUAUUGGCGAGAGACCGAUAGCGAACAAGUACCGUGAGGGAAAGAUGAAAAGCACUUUGGAAAGAGAGUUAACAGUACGUGAAAUUGUUAAAAGGGAAACGAUUGAAGUCAGUCUUGUAGCUUUUCGUUCAACCGCAAGGUGUAUUCGGAUUGCAACAGGCCAGCAUCAAUUUUUGGUGUCGGAUAAGGGUAUUGGAAACGUAGCAAUCUCGGUUGUGUUAUAGUCCUUUACUUGAUACGAUGCUGGGGAUUGAGGAACGCAGUGAGCCUUUUGGCGGGUCUUCGGACCUUCUCACUUUGGAUGCUGGCGUAAU